UAGAGGGUGAGAAUCCCGUACAUGAUGCGGAUUACCAAUACAAUGUGAUACAGUCUCUAAGAGUCGAGUUGUUUGGGAAUGCAGCUCAAAAUGGGUGGUAAAUUCCAUCUAAGGCUAAAUAUUGGCGAGAGACCGAUAGCGAACAAGUACCGUGAGGGAAAGAUGAAAAGCACUUUGGAAAGAGAGUUAACAGUACGUGAAAUUGUUGAAAGGGAAACGCUUGAAGUCAGUCUUGUACUUGGUUGUUCAGCCUUYGGGUGUAUUCAAUCUUGAACAGACCAACAUCAGUCCCGAAUGCUGGAUAAGGGUUGAAGAAAUGUAGCAGCCUUGGCUGUGUUAUAGUCUUCUACUGGAUACAGUGUCUGGGACUGAGGAUUGCAGUGAGCCUUUUGGCGGACCUUUUGGUCUUCUCACUAUGGAUGUUGGUGUAAUGGCUUUAAACGACCCGUCUUGAAACACGGACCAAGGAGUCUAACAUGCUUGCGAGUGUUUGGGUGUCAAACCCAGGCGCGUAAUGAAAGUGAAUGUAGGUGGGAAUCGCAAGAUGCACCAUCGACCGUCCGGAU
rnacentral:rRNA from 1 species